GUGAACGCUGGCGGUAGACCUAACACAUGCAAGUCGAACGGCAGCACAGUAAGAGCUUGCUCUUACGGGUGGCGAGUGGCGGACGGGUGAGGAAUACAUCGGAAUCUACUUUUUCGUGGGGGAUAACGUAGGGAAACUUACGCUAAUACCGCAUACGACCUACGGGUGAAAGCAGGGGAUCUUCGGACCUUGCGCGAUUGAAUGAGCCGAUGUCGGAUUAGCUAGUUGGCGGGGUAAAGGCCCACCAAGGCGACGAUCCGUAGCUGGUCUGAGAGGAUGAUCAGCCACACUGGAACUGAGACACGGUCCAGACUCCUACGGGAGGCAGCAGUGGGGAAUAUUGGGCAAUGGGCGCAAGCCUGAUCCAGCCAUACCGCGUGGGUGAAGAAGGCCUUCGGGUUGUAAAGCCCUUUUGUUGGGAAAGAAAAGCAGCAGGUUAAUACCCCGCUGUUCUGACGGUACCCAAAGAAUAAGCACCGGCUAACUUCGUG
rnacentral:rRNA from 1 species